rnacentral:sRNA from 1 species
GUUCGAAUCCUGCACGACCCACCAAUUUAAAGGUGGUUACUGGUAGAGAACGUGAAGGAUAACGUUGCGUUAGCAACGGCCCGAAGGGCGAGACGAAGUCCAGUCAUCCUGCACGACCCACCA